GGGUCUGCAACCCGACCCCAUGAAGCCGGAAUCGCUAGUAAUCGCGGGUCAGCCAUACCGCGGUGAAUACGUUCUCAAGCUUUGUACUCACAAUAAAAGCGCACAGCAGUGCGCGUAUCUAUGCGGUU
rnacentral:ncRNA from 1 species